GGGCAGAAACCAAAAGGAAGAAACAAUCUUGAAGCUGGGUAUGGGGAAAUUAACAAGAUGGCCUCAGGUUCUCUCGUCCCACAAUCUCAUGCCCUCUCACCCCAUGUUCUGUAAACAAUGAGUUUGCACAGGUAUAUAAUAGCUGAGAUCACUUACAGCACUGUACAUCAUGUUACAAGGUAAUCAUUUGGUCACAGGCUACUAUGUGCGGUCCACCUGUAUGAGAAUCACCAUGAAAGCCCUGUCUGCUGCUCCAUCAGUGCUACACUGGAGCAACAUGAGGGACAUGUUGUGACUACUACUACGGCUACUUUGUCAGCCAGAAGAGAGGCUGUGGGUCUCACGAAUUCCG
rnacentral:sRNA from 1 species